rnacentral:rRNA from 1 species
UACGGGGGGGGCAAGCGUUGUUCGGAAUUACUGGGCGUAAAGGGCUCGUAGGCGGCCAACUAAGUCAGACGUGAAAUCCCUCGGCUUAACCGGGGAACUGCGUCUGAUACUGGAUGGCUUGAGUUUGGGAGAGGGAUGCGGAAUUCCAGGUGUAGCGGUGAAAUGCGUAGAUAUCUGGAGGAACACCGGUGGCGAAGGCGGCAUCCUGGACCAACACUGACGCUGAGUGAGCGAAAGCCAGGGGAGCAAACGGA